rnacentral:rRNA from 1 species
UACGGGGGGAGCAAGCGUUGUUCGGAUUUACUGGGCGUAAAGGGCGCGUAGGCGGUCGUGACAAGUCACUUGUGAAAUCUCCGGGCUUAACUCGGAACGGUCAAGUGAUACUGUCGGACUAGAGUACAGAAGGGGCAACUGGAAUUCUCGGUGUAGCGGUGAAAUGCUUAGAUAUCGAGAGGAACACCUGCGGCGAAGGCGGGUUGCUGGGCUGAUACUGACGCUGAGGCGCGAAAGCCAUGGGAGCGAACGGG